rnacentral:rRNA from 1 species
UGCCAGACUCCUACGGGAGGCAGCAGUGGGGAAUAUUGCACAAUGGGGGAAACCCUGAUGCAGCGACGCCGCGUGAGCGAUGAAGUAUUUCGGUAUGUAAAGCUCUCUCAGCAGGGAAGAAAAUGACGGUACCUGACUAAGAAGCCCCGGCUAACUACGUGCCAGCAGCCGCGGUAAUACGUAGGGGGCAAGCGUUAUCCGGAUUCACUGGGUGUAAAGGGAGCGUAGACGGCGACGCAAGUCUGGAGUGAAAGCCCGGGGCCCAACCCCGGGACUGCUCUGGAAACUGCGGCGCUGGAGUACGGGAGGGGCAGGCGGAAUUCCUGGUGUAGCGGUGAAAUGCGUAGAUAUUAGGAGGAACACCAGUGGCGAAGGCGACUUUCUGGACUGUACCUGACGCUGAGGCGCGAAAGCGUGGGUAGCGAACGGGAUUAGAUACCCUUGUAA